GAUGAACGCUGGCGGCGUGCUUAACACAUGCAAGUCGAACGCUGAAGCUCCAGCUUGCUGGGGUGGAUGAGUGGCGAACGGGUGAGUAUCACGUGAGAAACCUGCCCUUGACUCUGGGAUAAGCCUGGGAAACUGGGUCUAAUACUGGAUAGGACUGAUCAUCGCAUGGUGGUUGGUUGACAGCUUUAUGCGGUUUUGGAUGGUCUCGCGGCCUAUCAGCUUGUUGGUGGGGUAAUGGCCUACCAAGGCUUUGACGGGUAGCCGGCCUGAGAGGGUGACCGGCCACACUGGGACUGAGACACGGCCCAGACUCCUACGGGAGGCAGCAGUGGGGGAUAUUGCACAAUGGGGGGAACCCUGAUGCAGCGACGCCGCGUGAGGGAUGACGGCCUUCGGGUUGUAAACCUCUUUCAGUUGGGAAGAAGCCUUUUUGGUGACGGUACCUUCAGAAGAAGCACCGGCUAACUACGUGCCAGCCGCCGCAGUAAUAC
rnacentral:rRNA from 1 species